GACGAACGCUGGCGGCGUGCUUAACACAUGCAAGUCGAACGGAAAGGCCCUGCUUUUGUGGGGUGCUCGAGUGGCGAACGGGUGAGUAACACGUGAGUAACCUGCCCUUGACUUUGGGAUAACUUCAGGAAACUGGGGCUAAUACCGGAUAGGAGCUCCUGCUGCAUGGUGGGGGUUGGAAAGUUUCGGCGGUUGGGGAUGGACUCGCGGCUUAUCAGCUUGUUGGUGGGGUAGUGGCUUACCAAGGCUUUGACGGGUAGCCGGCCUGAGAGGGUGACCGGCCACAUUGGGACUGAGAUACGGCCCAGACUCCUACGUGAGGCAGCAGUGGGGAAUAUUGCACAAUGGGCGGCAGCCUGAUGCAGCAACGCCGCGUGCGGGAUGACGGCCUUCGGGUUGUAAACCGCUUUCGCCUGUGACGAAGCGUGAGUGACGGUAAUGGGUAAAGAAGCACCGGCUAACUACGUG
rnacentral:rRNA from 1 species